rnacentral:misc_RNA from 1 species
CCUUAAAGAACCUGCCUUUGUAGUGCUCACACAGAUUGUCUGAUAGAUGUAAAGAAGCAAGACGGCUGCGAAGUCGCGACACCUCGUGUCCCCUUCGUCUAGCGGUUAGGACUCCGCCCUUUCACGGCGGCAACAGGGGUUCGAAUCCCCUAGGGGACGCCACUUGCUGGCUGUGAGUGAAAGGCACAACCAACCGAUAUCUCAAAACUCAUCUUCGGGUGACGUUUGAGAUAUUUGCUCUUUAAAAAUCUGGAUCAAGCUGAAAAUUGAAACGACACACUGUUUAAGUGUGUUCGAGUCUCUCAAAUUUUCGCGACACGACGAUGUUUUACGAAACAUCUUCGGGUUGUGA